GAUGAAGAACGUAGUGAAAUGCGAUAAGUAGUGUGAAUUGCAGAAUUCAGUGAAUCAUCGAAUCUUUGAACGCACAUUGCGCCUUCUAGUAUUCUGGGAGGCAUGCCUGUUUGAGCGUCAUUAAACCUCUCUCAAGUAUGAUUACUUGGAUGUGAAGGAAGAGUACCUUAAACUUAAGGAGUGUUCUCCUUUGAAAUUGAUUAGCAGAUGGUAAUGUUAUUAAAUCCCUGAUGUUGUAAGAAAUAACAGUGGUUUUGUAGACUAUUAUCUAGCUUUAAAUUAUAAUUUUUAUUAUGGUUGACCUCAAAUCAGGUAGGAAUACCCGCUGAACUUAAGCAUAUCAAUAAGCGGAGGA
rnacentral:misc_RNA from 1 species